UACGUAGGGGGCAAGCGUUGUCCGGAAUCAUUGGGCGUAAAGGGCGCGUAGGCGGCAAUUCAAGUCAGCUGUGAAAUCUCCGGGCUUAACUCGGAACGGUCAGCUGAUACUGCUUUGCUAGAGUGCAGAAGGGGCAAUCGGAAUUCUUGGUGUAGCGGUGAAAUGCGUAGAUAUCAAGAGGAACACCUGAGGUGAAGACGGGUUGCUGGGCUGACACUGACGCUGAGGCGCGAAAGCUAGGGUAGCAAACGGG
rnacentral:rRNA from 1 species